UACAGAGGUGGCAAGCGUUGUUCGGAAUUACUGGGCGUAAAGGGCGCGUAGGCGGCCUUCUAAGUCAGACGUGAAAUCCCUCAGCUUAACUGGGGAACUGCGUCUGAAACUGGCGGGCUUGAGUGCAGGAGAGGAACGCGGAAUUCCAGGUGUAGCGGUGAAAUGCGCAGAUAUCAGGAGGAACACCGGUGGCGAAGGCGGAUCUCUGGGCCGUAACUGACGCUGAGGAGCGAAAGCAUGGGGAGCGAACAGG
rnacentral:rRNA from 1 species